rnacentral:rRNA from 1 species
UUGACUGGGGCGGUCUCCUCCUAAAGAGUAACGGAGGAGCACGAAGGUUGGCUAAUCCUGGUCGGACAUCAGGAGGUUAGUGCAAUGGCAUAAGCCAGCUUGACUGCGAGCGUGACGGCGCGAGCAGGUGCGAAAGCAGGUCAUAGUGAUCCGGUGGUUCUGAAUGGAAGGGCCAUCGCUCAACGGAUAAAAGGUACUCCGGGGAUAACAGGCUGAUACCGCCCAAGAGUUCAUAUCGACGGCGGUGUUUGGCACCUCGAUGUCGGCUCAUCACAUCCUGGGGCUGAAGUAGGUCCCAAGGGUAUGGCUGUUCGCCAUUUAAAGUGGUACGCGAGCUGGGUUUAGAACGUCGUGAGACAGUUCGGUCCCUAUCUGCCGUGGGCGCUGGAGAACUGAGGGGGGCUGCUCCUAGUACGAGAGGACCGGAGUGGACGCAUCACUGGUGUUCGGGUUGUCAUGCCAAUGGCACUGCCCGGUAGCUAAAUGCGGAAGAGAUAAGUGCUGAAAGCAUCUAAGCACGAAACUUGCCCCGAGAUGAGUUCUCCCUGAGACUUUAAGUCUCCUGAAGGAACGUUGAAGACGACGACGUUGAUAGGCCGGGUGUGUAAGCGCAGCGAUGCGUUGAGCUAACCGGUACUAAUGAACCGUGAGGCUUAACCUUACA